rnacentral:rRNA from 1 species
CCUACGGGAGGCAGCAGUAGGGAAUCUUCCACAAUGGACGAAAGUCUGAUGGAGCAACGCCGCGUGAGUGAAGAAGGGUUUCGGCUCGUAAAGCCCUGUUGGUAGUGAAGAAAGAUAGAGGUAGUAACUGUCCAUUAUUUGACGGUAAUUACUUAGAAAGCCACGGCUAACUACGUGCCAGCAGCCGCGGUAAUACGUAGGUGGCAAGCGUUGUCCGGAUUUAUUUGGCGUAAAGGGAGUGCAGGCGG